AUCUAUCUAUAUUAUAAUGAGACAGUUUAGUCUCUCCUAAAGGUGUCCACGUGGACAUUCUUUAAUAUUUGUGGAUCCCACGUUUAUGUCUGGUUUGGUUAUCACGUUCGGCUUGUUAUUAGAUACAGAUGUUUAUGAUUUAAUUUCACAAACAAACGUUUCUGUUCUUCUUCUUCUAUCCUCUGAACCGUCUUCAUCAUCUCCACUCUUUACCAAACGAUCUAAUGUCAAGAUCGAUAUCGCUACUGAAUUGCGGCGGCAGCGGAACCGGUCUUCGUCGGCGAGCGAGGUUCCGGUUGAUAAUCAAGGACCAGUUUCGGAUCCUGGAUUGGAAUCUGGAGAGCCGAACCUUGGAUCCUCUUAUCCGCAAGGUAUGGAUGCGGAGAAGCCUGUUUUAACCUAUCUGCUGUGAUGGAGAUCUCUCUUGAAGCCGACACAAAUCCUGAAGCCGAUGUCUUGGCGACACCUACAAUAGCAGGUUUGGUGGUCUGUCUCACGAUUUUGUCUGAUUAACCAGUGAUCAGUUACAGAAGAGGUGAAAACAGUGACAGGGAAAGUAACGGAAGAAAAAAAUGAUAAGUUCUACUUCGUAGAGAUCAGUGAGCGUUCUUCCGAGUAGGCUCGAAACCGUGUUGGAGAAAAUCUACAGCUAACACAAAUGUCCUCCCAUAAACGAAGAGUCGAGGCAGAGCCUUUCUUCGAUCCCUGAGGAGUUAGCUUUCAAUUUUCUCAGGAAAGCUUUUAAUUCCCGGUGCUGUCCAACCUCGACCGCUUCAUCCUCUCUAACUUACUGUUACUGUUUCAAGCUCUCCGGCAAAGCCUCAAGGUAAAGUAUCAAAAGCAGAGUCUUUCUAUUGUAUUAUUUGUAAUUGUUGCUCUGAUUGUAGAAGAGAUACCUGUUGAUUCUUUGAGAAUACAAAGCUAUGGUGAAUCUCUGCACAUUCCUCCUCAGCUCUUAGCUUUGAGUGAGCUUGAGUUCAACAAGGCAUUUCUGUUGCUUAGCUAUAUUCCUGGGACAGAUCUGGUUCAGGUUAAAAUAACUACUGAAGAGAUCCGAGGUUGGAAGGAUUUGUCAAUGGUUGCAUUUGAAGCUGCGGUUUGGGAACGCUUGGGAAAGGAUUAUUGUUCCCCAACUGACCGUAGAUUGAUUGGGACACUGGCAAGACUCAUCAUUAUUAUCAGUGUCAUGUAGCUUCAGACGGAAGUUACACGUUCAAGUGUUUUGACAGGGACCUCUUCUUCUUGAACCCGCUGGAACAUACUUGCAAAAGGUCUUGGGUGAUGAUAAUGCUUUGACGGUAUAUUUGAGGAUCUCCAGAAAAAUUCGUCAGCUUGUAGUAUUGACCCUUACUCUGGAUACAAAAAGAUUGCCAAAAAUGGUAUCAAGAUUGGGUUACGCCGUUAUCAAAUUUUUGUUUUCAAAGAUGGUGGAAAAGAAGAAAGACUUUUCUACAAAAGGAAUGAAAUGCUACUUUAUACGCACAGACUCCACAUCUGCUAUUGAUACAGGAAGUCCUUACAUGUUUUCUGGGAAGUCAAUUUAUGAAGCUCGCAUGCAUUUUAUGCACGUGCACACAUUGCCAUCUUUGGCCAACUACAUGGCAAGGUACUUCAGUUUUUUCUCUGUCUAUUUGAUAACUUUUCUUUUUUAAUUCGAGUCUGUGUGUGUUUUUGUUGAUGCUUCGGGUUUUCUUUGAUUCUGUCAAAGACUAAGAAGUGACUGGGAUAACCUUCGAGACUAUUGAUGAUAUACACUGCCAUGUACUUUGUUAAUUCUUUUGUCCUUUUGGGAACUGUGUCUUUAAUUUCUGUGUUUGUAUAUCCUUGAAAAUUCGGUUUGGUUUGUGUGUGUGUUUUUUUCUGAAAAAGGUUGGUGUUGUGUAAUUUCUCAUUACCAAAAUAGUACAAUUAUAUUA